rnacentral:lncRNA from 1 species
UAGAGAGUGAGUGAUGAAAAACAGUGAAGCGAGCAGGGAUUGCGGGGAUGAGGGAUACAUGCGUUAUAUUUGGUUUGAAGUUAGCUGGCUAGGGCCUGAGAUGAAUAAUUGACGUUUGAUGCUUUGACGCCAAGGGAACUCCCAUGCACUGCCACUGGAUGGAUCCGUAUUUGAUAUAGACAACACACCAUCCAGAAUUGUGAAUCAAGUAAACUGCAGUUGUUGCAUCUUCAAAUUUGGUAGAAUUUCUUUCUAUACCUAUUUUUCAGUCAACAUCUUAAUCUUCAAUCUCUUUCUACUCACUCACCCACUAACUCGUGUCUUCUUUGUGAACAUCAAAUCAAUCAUAACAAACAAGCUUAGUCCAUACAUAACCCACCUUCUUAUUUUUAUUCCUUGAAGGGAAAAAACUUUUCUGAACGUAUUUUAAGGUUUUGCUUGACCAAAAUCCUCUAGAGCAACACAAACAUUACAGCUUAGAAAAUACAUUGAAACAUGAUUUCCUCUUUUCUUCUAUUUAUAAAUGGAUUUGAGAUCAAUCCAAAGGAAGUGGACUUAAAGCUUACGUUAGAGUGGGAAGAAAAUAUAGCCAGCCAUAAUAUAUGUAUAGUUAAUAAUCAUACAGUGUUCGCUGUUCGUUAGAAAUUCCAAAUUUCUUCUAUUCCAAAGCUCCAAGCCUUGAGAUUGCGUGUUUUAAUUAAUUUGACACUUGCAUGUUCACACCCACACUAAGUUUAGAAUUGAUUUCCAAGGUAUCACACCUAGUAAAUUAUCCCAGAAAUUAAGGUAUCACAUGAAUGUUAAUAGUAAAUCUUCUGUCUUGGUAUUACUUCACUUGCAUAACCACGUUAAUGAGAAUUCGAUGUUUUGAAAUGCAGGACUUUCUUCAGCCUUUCUAAUUUCCUAUGCCAAUGCCUUCUUCUAGCUUUGAACAUGCUUGUAACUUGAAUAACCCAUUAACCUAGGCAUUAAAUCAAUAGAAUAUAAUCGGGA